rnacentral:rRNA from 1 species
AUUCCCCUAGUAACUGCGAGUGAAGCGGGAAGAGCUCAAAUUUAAAAUCUGGCAGUCUUUGGCUGUCCGAGUUGUAGUCUGGAGAAGUGUUUUCCGUGCUGGACCGUGUACAAGUUUCUUGGAAUAGAACAUCAUAGAGGGUGAGAAUCCCGUCUUUGACACGGACUGCCAGUGCUUUGUGAUGCGCUCUCAAAGAGUCGAGUUGUUUGGGAAUGCAGCUCAAAAUGGGUGGUAAAUUCCAUCUAAAGCUAAAUAUUGGCGAGAGACCGAUAGCGAACAAGUACCGUGAGGGAAAGAUGAAAAGCACUUUGGAAAGAGAGUUAAACAGUACGUGAAAUUGUUGAAAGGGAAACACUUGAAGUCAGUCGCGUUGUUCAGAACUCAGCCUGGCUCCCGCCUGGUGUAUUUUUUGUUCAACGGGCCAGCAUCAAUUUUGAUCAUUGGAAAAAGGCCAGGGGAAUGUGGCACCUUCGGGUGUGUUAUAGCCUCUGGUUGCAUACAAUGGUUGGGAUUGAGGAUCUCAGCAUGCCUUUUGGCCGGGGUUCGCCCACGUUCAUGCUUAGGAUGCUGGCGUAAUGGCUUUAAAUGACCCGUCUUGAAACACGGACCAAGGAGUCUAACAUACCUGCGAGUGUUUGGGUGGAAAACCCGAGCGCGUAAUGAAAGUGAAAGUUGGGAUCCCUGUCGUGGGGAGCACCGACGCCCGGACCUGACCUUCUGUGACGGCUCUGCGGUAGAGCAUGUAUGUUGGGACCCGAAAGAUGGUGAACUAUGCCUGAAUAGGGUGAAGCCAGAGGAAACUCUGGUGGAGGCUCGUAGCGAUUCUGACGUGCAAAUCGAUCGUCAAAUUUGGGUAUAGGGGCGAAAGACUAAUCGAACCAUCUAGUAGCUGGUUCCUGCCGA